GAAAAGGCUUAGAAAAGGAAGAGUACAUCAGUUGCGUAUGCCAGAGAAAUCCCGUUUUGGUGAGAGGGAUCAUACAAGAUUGGUCGAACACACCUUGGAGCUGACUAGGCGAAAGAAGAGUAGUCUAUUCCGGAACCCUGUACCCGUUAUCGUACUAGCGUAUGAUUGUACGCGAAGAGGUGAUUGUCGUGAGGCAAUCAUAAAAAGAGGUGGAACCACGGUAGCAAUGCUCUCGUCCUCUGG
rfam:Clostridiales bacterium CHKCI006 isolate CHKC6 genome assembly, contig: {contig148}